GAGGCCUUAGCUUAAUUUAAAGUGCCUGGUUUGCAGUCAGGAGAUGUAGUGUUAAAUUUACAGGUCUU
rnacentral:tRNA from 1 species